rnacentral:rRNA from 1 species
UACGGGGGGGGCAAGCGUUGUUCGGAAUUACUGGGCGUAAAGGGCGCGUAGGCGGCCUUCUAAGUCGGACGUGAAAUCCCUCGGCUUAACCGAGGAACUGCGUCCGAUACUGAAAGGCUUGAAUCCAGGAGAGGGAUGUGGAAUUCCAGGUGUAGCGGUGAAAUGCGUAGAUAUCUGGAGGAACACCGGUGGCGAAGGCGGCAUCCUGGACCGGCAUUGACGCUGAGGCGCGAAAGCUAGGGGAGCAAACAGG